GUUGGCGCAUGCGCCAUAGGGCGGCCCUGUGCUCACCUCUGCUAGCAAGUGAAGUCCCGCUGGAGGGGAGGAACCGAGCGCGGGGGGGUUCGGUGCACACAAACCUAAAAGUACUGAAAACCUGCAAGUCUUGCCAUCAUAAAUAAGAUCUGGGCCACUGAUGCCACAGAAUCCUGUAACAUGGUUGAUAAGGGCAAGUGCUAAAGACUGAAGCCACAGAACUGCAAAGUGUCGCAUACAGUUGUUGCAAAUGCAGCACAGUUUGCAGCGGCAGUAUAAAAACACCACCAUGCUGAACUACUCCACCAGCAGCAAAGCAACGAUGAACCAGACCCUAGGUCUUGCCUUACCAUCCCAGCCCUAAUGGCUAUAAAACGUCCCCUCCAGCUGUGCUCUAUGAUACACAGUACAGGAAACCCAGGAAGCAUCCUUACCUGGAUAGAGUUCGGCUGCGGCAGCUGCUGCAACAGAGAGGAAGCGUGUUUUCUGUUUGACGGCUAAGCUCCAAAUUACAACCGCUCUGACGAUGCCUGGCUGUGUGGUUACUCAUGGUCUUCUCUUCACAAAUCAGGCAUCAAGACUCCAGCACAACAGGAUGGAUGUAAUCCCUGCACAGCUUAAUAUUCCUCCUCUCCAGCUCUUGGUUUUUUCAUUUCUAUCCCCCUGUGGAGCAGCUGUGAGAAGAUCCCAACUGGAUUCC
rnacentral:lncRNA from 1 species